rnacentral:rRNA from 1 species
CGGGUGAGUAACACGUGUAUAACCUACCUAUAAGACUGGGAUAACUUCGGGAAACCGGAGCUAAUACCGGAUAAUAUUUUGAACCGCAUGGUUCAAAAGUGAAAGACGGUCUUGCUGUCACUUAUAGAUGGAUCCGCGCUGCAUUAGCUAGUUGGUAAGGUAACGGCUUACCAAGGCAACGAUGCAUAGCCGACCUGAGAGGGUGAUCGGCCACACUGGAACUGAGACACGGUCCAUACUCCUACGGGAGGCAGCAGCC